UGAGGUAGUAGGUUAUAUGGAGA
rnacentral:miRNA from 1 species